rnacentral:tRNA from 1 species
GGCUCCGUGGUGUAGUUGGUAUCUCAUUGGCCUAGAAUGCCGAAGACGCUGGUUCGAAUCCAGCCGGUGCCC